GGAGCGCUGCCGUAAAGCGCGCGGCGGCGCUGUCGCUAAGGCAGCGGGCGAGAGGACCCGGGGACUACAGGGGAAGCCACGCCCCCUUUGGGGGAUCAACCAAUCAGCGAGCGCGCUGGAAAGGCGGGAGCUAUGGAGAAGAGGAAAGCCGCGCCCUCUUUGGGGAAUCAGCCAAUCAGCGCUCUGGACACGCCCCUCCCGCCGGGGUCGGUCGCCAGGGAGACGCGCGGCGCCAUUUGGGGCUGAGGCGGUGGCGGAGCCACUUCCGGUGGGAGCGGCCUCGGCCCGAGCCCGGCCCAGCCCUAAACCCGGCCCAGCAGGGACCCAGCCUCGUGACAGCCCCGGCCCCGCUCCCCCGGCUCGGCCCCGGCCCCGUUCCCGGUCCAGCCGCGGCCCCGCGGAGCUCCUGAGGCGGAGGUGGAGCGGGACGCGCAGGGCCCCCCCCCGGGGGCCGUGGCCGCCAUGGCCGCCGUGUGGCAGCAGGUCCUGGCCGUGGAUGCCCGGUACCGCGGCGCCGCCCUGCUUUCUGUCCUCAUUCC